rnacentral:sRNA from 2 species
UUAGAGCGCACGCCUGAUAAGCGUGAGGUCGGUGGUUCGAGUCCACUUAGGCCCAUCAUGGGGAAUUAGCUCAGCUGGGAGAGCACCUGCUUUGCAAGCAGGAGGUCAUCGGUUCGAUCCCGAUAUUCUCCAUUGCUAGCCGCGAGGUUAGCGAGUUUGUACUUUGAAAACUAAAUAAUAUCAAUUUCUAAUAAAAUCAAGAAAACCGAGAACACCGCGUUAUUUGAGUUUUUAACGAAUUAUAAUCGCAUGCUCAACUAACUUGACUGAUCUACGAUCAGUAAGGUUAAGUUAUGAAGGGCGCAUGGUGAAUGCCUUGGUACUAGGAGCCGAUGAAGGACGGGACUAACACCGAUAUGCUUCGGGGAGCGGUAAGUACGCUUUGAUCCGGAGAUUUCCGAAUGGGGAAACCCAAUCAUCUUAGUCGAUGAUUACUUGAGCAGUGAAUUCAUAGCUGCCAAGAGGUAGACGCAGUGAACUGAAACAUCUUAGUAGCUGCAGGAAGAGAAAGAAAAUUCGAUUCCCUGAGUAGCGGCGAGCGAAACGGGAAGAGCCCAAACCACUGAGCUUGCUCAGUGGGGUUGUAGGACUGAACUUUGGAGUUACCAAAGAAUCAGGUAGUCGAAGUGGCUGGGAAGCCACACCAGAGAUGGUGAUAGUCCAGUAGACGAAACCUGGUUCUCUCCGUUCAGGAUCCUGAGUACGGCGGGACACGUGAAACCCCGUCGGAAUCCGCGAGGACCAUCUCGCAAGGCUAAAUACUCCCUAGUGACCGAUAGUGAA